UUGUGCUUUUGCAGUUGCUGAAUGGGUUCUUGGUUCUAGGCCUCCAGGCCUUGGCUGUCAAAGGCACCUUCAAGUGGCUGGCAUUUCUAGUCCAGUUGCAAGCCUUUGCAGGACUCACAGACGACGAUGGUGGAAGAUUGCGCGUUGGGUGGUGGCGCGACCUAAACUACUGCAGUGGUGAUUAGGGCUGAACUGCGGGAAUAUCUCGGCUCGCGUGUCCUGCCUCUGAUGAAGCCUGUGUUGGAAUGGUGCGAGGCGGGAAUACAAUGUGGCUUUUGAUGGCACCAGAUGGACAGGUCUUUGCCAGAGGGCUGAGAACAGCUGCUGGGGUCCUAAAGGGCAAGCUUCACACACUAGCUGUGGGCAAACAGACAUUAAACAGAAUUAGCUGGAAGUUGAAGUGGUGGACUUGAGCUUUGACAUGUCUGGAUUGAGAGUUUGGUUUUUUUGCGACUGGGUACUACACAAGUUUUUAUUCGCGGAUGGCUUGCUUAGGGUGCAGAUGUUGGUCACCUUUUAUGUAAAGGUGUGAAGAGUUGGGUCGUCUACAAGGCCUGGAACAGGAGUUUUAAGCACAGGCAGACCUUCUGUUACUCUGAAGAUUUCAAGGGCAUUUAUGACAGCAGUUAUGCAGCUUACCAGUUGAAAGACAGCUGGAUGGAUGCUUAUGUGAUAGAAGAUUAAAAGCAACUUUCAGUUUUAAUGAUGGAUGCUUAUGUGAUAGAAGAUUAAAAGCAACUUUCAGUUUUAAUAAAUUUUUAUACAAAAUA